GCCGGUAUAGCUCAGACGGAAGAGCAACUGACUUGUAAUCAGUAGGUCGAAGGUUCGACUCCUUUUGCCGGCA
rfam:Glossina palpalis gambiensis isolate 146720 unplaced genomic scaffold Scaffold860, whole genome shotgun sequence.